AGCAACCGAGUACAGCCCCCUUCCUCCCUGACACCAAGCAGAGAGAGCAUCCAGCAUUGGCAGUGCACCGCAGUCUUGGAGUAGUGCAGACUCUGUGGGCUGUCCACCCCUUACCAAUGAGCCUAGCCAGGCUGCAAGGCAGAGAAGUGAAAAGGAGGAGCUGGGAGAGGGGAGGGGGAACAACGCCUCGGAGAUGGAUUUGCUGCUCUUUUUCUCAGCUGUUGGGUUCCAAACCUGGGGUUCUGCUCCUGAAAGAGAGUGUGGAAGACAGGAGAACACCAGGCUAACUCUACCUCUGCUACCAAUGUGCCCUGUGACCAUGGCAUCCAGGGAGCUGACUAAUCAAGACACUGAGUUCCAAAGACCACUCGCCUCACAAAACAGAGGGACAAGCAGACAGGGUGUGCUUCCUGAUGAGAGGUCACAGCACCCUCCCACAAGCCAGCUGAGAAGAUCCACCUUCCGCUUCCAGCAAUCAGUUUGCAGGAGACAGCGCGGCCAGAGAACGCAUUGUGAGCGUAACCUGCAGCGUCCACACUGUGAGACAGGGCACAGAAUGUGCUACCCUGGCUUGUGUAACUCCAAGGGAAGGCUGCAAGAGGAACCAGAGUACAAGAGGCUGAUGGGAUGUGUCGAUUUUCUAUUUAAAGGAAAAGACCGCACAAGAAUGUCGACCGACUGUCACAUGCUGGCACCCGAGUCCCAGGCUCUCCCCACACAAGGUUUCCUUCCCACCCGGCCACGACCAUCACCUGAACACGGGCAUGCUCUGUGUGGAUAAAUGGAUGGUUAGUCAGAGGAAUGUUCUGCUCCAGUGUGAAGUCCACAAAAAACUUGGCGAUGGAGAACAUGAUAAACAAUCCAUUUGGGGAGUUUUCAGAAAAGGGUUUGAAUCCAUUUUAAACGUUCCAGAGUCCUGACUGUGGGGGCUUCUGGUCUACAAGAUAAAGUCCCAUGUUCUGAACUUGGUUACCGAGGAGGCUCACCGUCAUCUUCCUGUCUCCCUCUGAGGAAACACCUCCACAAAGCAGGCAUUCAGUGGGAAUCUGCUGGACUAACAGAUCAUAACAUGGAUGCUUCCUUUCUGAAGAGCUCACUGUCUCCCCAACUCCAGUCACUAGGAACCGUUCACCACCAAAUGCCUCCCACCUUCUCACCUUCGGCUUGUUCUUCUCACCACCCCCUUUGUGUGAAUGCUUUCCCUGUUUGUUUUCAGUCUGUGUAAACCUCGCCCAUUCUUCAAAGCCUGGUGUCAAUUUUACCUCUUCCGCGAUGUCUUUAUGAACAUAACAUAUUUCACACAUUGAGCAUUUGUAUUGCUAAUUACUCAGUUAUUGUUUUUGUCUUGUUUGAGAAAGAAUCUUACUACACAGCCCAGGCUAGCCUCAAACUCCCAAACAUACUACAGGCUUGUACUGCCUUAGCUAGCUUCUUAUUUUUUAAAAUAAUACAUUCAUUUAUUUAUUGUGUGUGUGUGUGUGUGUGUGUGUGUGUGUGUGUGUGUGUGUGCGCAUGUUUGUGAGGGUAAAGGCAUGCAUGUGUCACAGCUCAUAUAUACAGACCAGAAGACAAUUUGCAGGACAUGGUUCUCUCCUUCUGAUAUAUAUGUUUUGGGAAUUGAAUUCAGAUCAUCCACAUGGGUGGGAAGGGCCUGCUGGGCCACUUUGACAGCUUCUUGUUAGCUGGUUUUAAAUGGCUUUUUGAGUGACAAUUUUUAAGCUGUUUCGAAGCAGGUGACUUAUGCUACUUUUCACCUUCACCCCAUAAAUCUAGUUUCAUACCUUAGAAAGAAGAGAUGUCUGGCAAUUUUUGAUUCCUUUGUUUUGUUUGACACAACCCUGUUGGAAACUCAGGCCCUGAAAUCAGACCCAAAUUGGAACCUCAAAUAUACGUGUUACCCCUGUAACCCCAAAGAAGCCUUCUAGCUUCCCAGAUUUUGUGAAGUUGAGAAAUUAAUAAGACUGACUCAUUUCUGUGAAGGGAAUUAAGUUAGACCAUGAAUAUAUGCUGGUUAACUAGGUGCUUAGCUCAGGAAAAACUUUUAAGUACAAUGCCGUUAUUGACAUCAGUGAUGAAGAUGCGUGUGAUUCUUCAGACACAGAUUAGACCUCUGUCAAUUAGACCAAGGUCAAAUGAAUAUGUCACUGAAACCCUUUGACUUCUUUGCUCCACGUGACACUGGGGAAGGCAAACGCCGGCGAUGGCCACUCAGCAGCAGAGUUUUAAGUAACGUUUUAACACAGCUCCUUCCAAGGAUGACUUCCCCUCCAUCUAUCAGCUCAUCACCCAAGCACUCAGCCAGAGCAAGAGUCCAUUAGCCCUACACUGGGGUGAUGUGGAAAUAAAAGCAGAGAGUUGCUGUGUAUUGCUUUGCAAUAAUUUAACCAAACAUGGACAAGCACACUUGGAGGCUUUUAUCAGAAAAACCCUGAAAGGCUGUGACGCUCACAGGCCAGUGGUCUCAGGGCGUCAAGCUGUUUUCAACUUGCCCUUCCUGCAUUAGAGAAAUGAGUUAAUCUGUUCUCAGGCUUUUAAUCGAAAGCUAGUAAAUCUGUUUUUUGGACAUUUCUGCACCUUAAUGAUACUCGUGUUUGAGGGAAGGCCCCUUGAAACCCUGGACUGUGGUUUCAUCUGAAGCCUGAACAGAAACAAAGGCUUAUGAUAAGAGACUUACAUGGGGGAGUAAUGAACAUUGUGAGUACCACUUUCUGUCCCCAAGACUCAGCAGCAAAAUAACGUCUCUUGGAGAGCUAGACUAGGUUCAACGGUGGGAGAGGAGGAGGGAUCAGACAAAACACCACAUUGUUCAGUGAGCUAUUUAAGAACAGACAGAAACACUAACACGGAUAACAGAAAAAAGCAAUCCAGACUAUGAACACAUCAUUUUUUAACAUUUUGGAAGCAGUUCAUAGCAUUGAAUGGACCAGGAAAAUAGCGGAAGCAUGGCUACCGGUGAUACAUGGAAGCUCCCAGUACACACCCACUCCUCAUCAUCGCUAGCAUGUCUGAGCACCUGUGCAGUAAAGCUAUUAACAUGAAUGUCUACGCGGCUGUUAACUCGUAGUUUGUCCACAUGAGAGUCUCUCUGGGGAAGGAAAUAUCAGAGAGUGCAAAAAAAAAAAAAAAUCUGCAAGUGCAGAACCAUUUUCCAAAAUGACUGAGCAAUCUCUAAGCUACGCUUUCAAGGACUUCAAGCUUUGGGGAAAGAUGAUCUGAGUUCUUCAAGUAUUCCUUUGUGUUACAGUUUCUUCGUGUUUAAGGAGGCAAAGAUGAAACUCUUCAGAGGACUUUGUUUUCCUUUUAACUUAGAUUUGUUUAUUUUAUGAAUAGGCAUAUACGUAUGUGUAUCACAUGUGUGCCUUCUACCUGCACGGAUCAGAAGAGGACACUGGAUCCCCUGGAGCCUGAGUCACAGAUGGUUGUGAGUUGCCGUGUGGGUGCUAGGCAAUGAACCCAGGUCUUCUGCAAGAGCAGCAAGUGCUCUUAACCACCAAGCCAUCCCUCCAGUCCAGGAUGUGUUUUUCUUAUGAGAGGUUUACCUGGUUCUCAGGCAUGUUCUUGUCCACCAUCAAAUUAUCCUGCCUAUGUGUGUAAGAGAAGCACUUUGGGGAUUUCUUUUUUUGAGGUAAGGUUUCUCUGUGUAGUUUUGGUGCCUGUCCUGGACCUCGUUCUGUAGACCAGGCUGGCCUCGAACUCACAGAGAUCCGCCCGGCUCUGCCUCCUGAGUGCUGGGAUUAAAGGUGUGCACCACUGUCGCCCUGGGGAUUUCCUCUUAAAUGUA